rnacentral:rRNA from 1 species
GGAAUAUUGGGCAAUGGAGGAAACUCUGACCCAGCGACGCCGCGUGCGGGAUGAAGGCCUUCGGGUUGUAAACCGCUUUCAGUAGGGAAGAAGCGAAAGUGACGGUACCUACAAAAGAAGCACCGGCUAACUAUGUGCCAGCAGCCGCGGUAAUACAUAGGGUGCAAGCGUUGUCCGGAAUUAUUGGGCGUAAAGAGCUCGUAGGUCGUUUGUUACGUCGGAUGUGAAAACUUGAGGCUCAACCUCAGGCCUGCAUUCGAUACGGGCAAACUAGAGUUUGGUAGGGGAGACUGGAAUUCCUGGUGUAGCGGUGGAAUGCGCAGAUAUCAGGAGGAACACCAAUGGCGAAGGCAGGUCUCUGGGCCAAUACUGACACUGAGGAGCGAAAGUCUGGGGAGCGAACAGGAUUAGAUACCCUGGUAGUCCAGACCGUAAACGGUGGGCACUAGUUGUGGGAACCUUCCACGGUUUCUGCGACGCAGCUAACGCAUUAAGUGCCCCGCCUGGGGAGUACGAUCGCAAGAUUAAAACUCAAAGGAAUUGACGG